rnacentral:rRNA from 1 species
ACCCAUUAGGAAAGACAUCACUCGCAGAAGAAGCACCGGCUAAUUCCGUGCCAGCAGCCGCGGUAAUACGGAGGGUGCAAGCGUUAAUCGGAAUUACUGGGCGUAAAGCGCGCGUAGGUGGCUUGAUAAGCCGGUUGUGAAAGCCCCGGGCUCAACCUGGGAACGGCAUCCGGAACUGUCAAGCUAGAGUGCAGGAGAGGAAGGUAGAAUUCCCGGUGUAGCGGUGAAAUGCGUAGAGAUCGGGAGGAAUACCAGUGGCGAAGGCGGCCUUCUGGACUGACACUGACACUGAGGUGCGAAAGCGUGGGUAGCAAACAGGAUUAGAUACCCUGGUAGUCCACGCCGUAAACGAUGUCGACCAGCCGUUGGGUGCCUAGCGCACUUUGUGGCGAAGUUAACGCGAUAAGUCGACCGCCUGGGGAGUACGGCCGCAAGGUUAAAACUCAAAUGAAUUGACGGGGGCCCGCACAAGCGGUGGAGCAUGUGGUUUAAUUCGAUGCAACGCGAAGAACCUUACCUACUCUUGACAUCCUGCGAAUUUGGUAGAGAUACCUUAGUGCCUUCGGGAACGCAGAGACAGGUGCUGCAUGGCUGUCGUCAGCUCGUGUUGUGAAAUGUUGGGUUAAGUCCCGUAACGAGCGCAACCCUUGUCCUUAUUUGCCAGCGCGUAAUGGCGGGAACUCUAAGGAGACUGCCGGUGACAAACCGGAGGAAGGUGGGGACGACGUCAAGUCAUCAUGGCCCUUACGAGUAGGGCUACACACGUGCUACAAUGGUCGGUACAAAGGGUUGCCAACUCGCGAGAGUGAGCCAAUCCCGAAAAGCCGAUCUCAGUCCGGAUCGGAGUCUGCAACUCGACUCCGUGAAGUCGGAAUCGCUAGUAAUCGUGGAUCAGAAUGCCACGGUGAAUACGUUCCCGGGCCUUGUACACACCGCCCGUCACACCAUGGGAGUGGACUGCACCAGAAGUGGUUAGCCUAACGCAAGAGGGCGAUCACCACGGUGUGGUUCAUGACUGGGGUGAAGUCGUAACAAGGUAACC